rnacentral:ncRNA from 11 species
CGUGGCCUAAUGGACAAGGCAUCUGACUUCUAAUCAGGGGAUUGCGGGUUCGAGUCCCGUCGG